GACGAACGCUGGCGGCGUGCUUAACACAUGCAAGUCGAGCGGUAAGGCCCUUUCGGGGGUACACGAGCGGCGAACGGGUGAGUAACACGUGGGUGACCUGCCCUCAGCUCUGGGAUAAGCCUGGGAAACUGGGUCUAAUACUGGAUAUGACUCCACGGUGCAUGUCGUGGGGUGGAAAGCCUUGUGCGGCUGAGGAUGGGCCCGCGGCCUAUCAGCUUGUUGGUGGGGUGANGGCCUACCAAGGCGACGACGGGUAGCCGGCCUGAGAGGGCGACCGGCCACACUGGGACUGAGACACGGCCCAGACUCCUACGGGAGGCAGCAGUGGGGAAGUCUUGCGCAAUGGGCGAAAGCCUGACGCAGCGACGCCGCGUGAGGGAUGACGGCCUCGG
rnacentral:rRNA from 1 species